rnacentral:tRNA from 1 species
GCCCCGGUAGUUCAAUGGAUAGAACGAGGCUCUCCUAAAGCUUAGAUCCAGGUUCGAUUCCUGGUCGGGGUA